rnacentral:rRNA from 1 species
AUGGCCGCCGCGGCGGAGAAGACGGCCGAGGAGAUCCGCCGCGAGCUCCAAGAGCUGCAGCGCCAGCACCGCGAGGUCCCUCCCCCCCGCCCCUCCACCCUCUCACUUCCCCUCCGUGGCCAUCGAGGCGUCUCCCCUGACCCGUUUGCUUGUCCCCGUGUUCUCCUCCCCUCCCGCAGAUCAGCGAGCGCCUGCGCGACCCCCGAGGCCUCCGACGCGGCGCCCCCGCCACCGGCCCCGGCCCCGGCCCCGGAGGCCCCCGCCCGCUCCGCGGCUUCGCCAGACCCGUGCGCGCCUCUCGCUUCGCGUCUCCUUCUCGUCCCUGUCUCUGUUUCUGUGCGUGAUUUUUCUCCCCGCGUGUUUCUGAUGCAGGCCCCGGAGCCGGUGGACCAGCCCGAGCCCAAGCGCCGGCUUCUUUCUGCCGUGGUUAAAGUGGAUGGCCCUGGAACUAAUGGGGAUGAUGCGGCGGCGGAGGGGCGUGAGGAUGGACCAAAUGCUGCUCAAGGUGGUGAGAGGAGGGGAGCCAGUAAUGGUGGGUUCAGGAGGGAUGGGAGCCAGUGGGUAUCCAGGAGGGAGCUUGAUAAUCAGCUGCCAGAGCCUCUCCCGAGGCCGGCUCCCAAGGAAGAGGAUCAGAGCUUGGUGAGGAGGAACAAGAGAAUGCUGGGGAAGCUUCUUGUUGGCACGCUAGAGAAAUUUCAGCAGGAGAACAAAAAACUUUCCAACUCAGAGGCUUUUAUGCGUAGAUCAGAGGCUCAGCAGAAGGCUGAUCAAAAGGCUCGUGAGGACAGUGAAAGAUUGCGGCAGCAAGAACGGGAGCAAGCAGCUGAGAAGCGUAGGCGUGAUAUGACGCUCCGUGCUCGAGUAGCUGCUAAGGCAGAAGAAAAGAGGUUGGAGCUAUUGUACAUUCAGUGGUCUGAGCAUCACAAAAAGCUGUCCAGUUUCUUAAGGACAAAAGCUGAACCAGCUAUUUAUUACAUGCCGGCUAAACCAAUAGUUGAUGAUCCGGUUAUUGUUGAGCAAAACAAGGAAAAGGUAUUUGAAGAAUGGAAAUCUGUACGCAGAACGGAGCUGACCCAGUUCCAAAAGCAAGUUGAGGAGCAGUAUCUGUCUAAUGUUGAGAGGCAGCUGGAAAGGAUUCAGAAUGCCCGGAAUGCUCGGAGGGGGAACGUGCCUGCUAACAUGCAGGAAAUGGACAAGGAGCUUGACACGCACAGGGCGGAGCAUGGCCCAAAGGCUCGGCGGAUCCCCGACGGUGGCAAUGACGAGGAUGAUGAUGUGGACGUGGACGACAUGGCCGCGGAAGACGACCUGAUGGAUGAAGUGCUCGGCGUCAAUGAGGCGAUCAACGAGGACCCAGGCAAGCCGUCUGAGGAGGCCACUGAUGUUGCGCCUGUACCCGAGCAGGCACAAUAG